AUUGGCAUAUACUGGCUUUCUGGUCAUAACGUAGGUAUAGAGAAAGUGGAAGUUGCAUAUUAGUCUAUUAGUUUGAUUCCGCAGUUAUUAGCGAUUUCAUAUUACCUAUACAUUUUCUUAAUCGCAACAUCCAACUCUGCGGUUCGCUGUCGCGUUAUCUACAUAAAUUGACCGUUAAUCGGCGUUCGUGCGCAGAUUUUGAUGCUUUACAGCCAUUCGUGUGAUUAAACGUUAUAAAUAGUGCGAUUAUCGAAUUUUUCGGUGUGAAAAAAAAAUGAUGAUGGCAAAUGUGCCGAAAUUUUUAGCAGUAUGUCUGUGUAUUUUAACUUCUCCUGCGACGACGCAGCAGACACCAGAAGAGAGAUACAGACUGCCUCAAACCGAGUCCAAACUAGUGGAAAGAUUCAGAUGGAACCGGAUCGACUUCAGUUUUGGAAGUGAAGCUGAGAGGCGAGUCGCUUUGGAAAAUCGUUCGUAUAUUCCAAAUAACACGAUACCUUUUGGAGUGGGGAUAUGGGAAGAAAAGCUGUUCAUUACUAUCCCCAGAAGAAACCCGGGAGUACCGGCGACUUUGAAUUACAUCAAUUUGAAUUCCAGCGAUAACGCACCUUUGCUGACACCAUAUCCAGACUGGGCCUCGAACCAGCCAACCGCAGGCAACAUCGUCUCCGUCUACCGAGUCAAUAUCGACUCGUGCGACCGACUUUGGGCCAUGGAUGCAGGAUCGGUAACUGAUUUCGAAGGCAACGGUCAACGAAUCCAAUCACCUCGUCUGUUGAUCAUCAACUUGAAAACCGACCAAAUCAUAAAAUCUCAUCAACUCAACUCUUCACCCUGUAACUCCGCCUACAUCAAUAUCUUCCCAGAUAUCAGAGAUUCUUGCGAAGAUGCCUACGCCUACGCUGUCGACCCUUCUUCCAACGGCUUGCUCGUGUAUUCCCUUCAAAAAGACUCAUCCUGGCGUAAAUCUCAUCCUUACUUUAAUCCCGAUCCCUUCCAAAUGGAAUUACGCGUCAAUGGCUUGAGUUUCAGCUGGAGCGAUGGCAUAUUUGGCUUAGGUCUAACCGAACGAAGCAAACAAGGAGAUAAAUGGAUUUAUUUCCAUCCAAUGUGCAGUUUGAACGAGUUCACCGUGAAUACCCGUUUCCUCAGAGACCCGAAUGCCACCCUGACUUCGAAUCAGAUCUCAAUCGCUGCGACUAGAAAUGCCACAUUUCAAGCCGCUGCUCAAGCUUACGACGAUAAAUCCGGCAUACUUUUUUACUCGCUCGUCAAUAAGAACGCUAUCGGGUGUUGGAAUACCAGGAAACAGGGUAGUUUUGCCGCGAAUAGCGAUAUAGUGGUUUCCAAUGAUCGCACCAUGGUGUAUUUCGUCGAUGUGAAAAUCGACAAUAAUAAUUUGUGGGCUAUGAGUAAUCGACUUCCCGAAGUGAUCUAUGGGUCUGGAUUACAUUCGGAUCAACCGAAUUUCCGAGUGUUUAGCGGAUCGCUCAGGCAAGCUAUUAGGAACACCAACUGCGACGUGAAUAGGUCUUUUUGGUCCAGAAAGGUGUAAUGAAAAGUAAUUGAAAUAAAUGGCAGUUUUGACUAAAAUCGUGAUAAUUUUCAUCAAUGACGCUGCCUUUUUGAAAGUUCAAAUCAUGCUUCGACAUGAGGUGCUUCAAUCAUAAGAGAGUUGUACAAGCAGAAAGCGGACACAGCAGCGACCGGAGAUUUUGGCGCAUUAUAAGUGGACACUGGUGACCCAACAGCGGGCGAGAUCAUUUUCGACGUGCUGUUCGAAUAAUCAACCAAGUAAUUUUCACACUGAAAGCUAUGCCGAAAACUGAACUAUUGAUUUCAUUACCUAUCAACAGAAAUGAACAACGUGUUGAUGAUAAAAAGUUAUCCCACGAAAAUACCCAUCUGCAGUAAUAUCAUGGAAACUACGGAGUACUGAUGGUGACAAACUUACGUAUUUAAUAAA